rnacentral:rRNA from 1 species
CGGUGUUUAACUGGCGUGAUGUGGGACGUCCUACCGGUGGGCUUAGCCUCGCGAGGGGCGGCCCAACUAAUAUCCCGUCGCGGUGCUCUUUACUGAGUGUCGAGUCGGGCCGGUACGUUUACUUUGAACAAAUUAGAGUGCUUAAAGCAGGCUAUCCUCGCCUGAAUACUGCGUGCAUGGAAUAAUGGAAUAGGACCUCGGUUCUAUUUUGUUGGUUUUCGGAACCCCGAGGUAAUGAUUAAUAGGGACAGAUGGGGGCAUUCGUAUUGCGACGUUAGAGGUGAAAUUCUUGGAUCGUCGCAAGACGGACAGAAGCGAAAGCAUUUGCCAAAAAUGUUUUCAUUAAUCAAGAACGAAAGUUAGAGGUUCGAAGGCGAUCAGAUACCGCCCUAGUUCUAACCAUAAACGAUGCCAGCUAGCGAUCCGCCGAAGUUCCUCCGAUGACUCGGCGGGCAGCUUCCGGGAAACCAAAGCUUUUGGGUUCCGGGGGAAGUAUGGUUGCAAAGCUGAAACUUAAAGGAAUUGACGGAAGGGCACCACCAGGAGUGGAGCCUGCGGCUUAAUUUGACUCAACACGGGAAACCUCACCAGGCCCAGACACCGGAAGGAUUGACAGAUUGAUAGCUCUUUCUUGAUUCGGUGGGUGGUGGUGCAUGGCCGUUCUUAGUUGGUGGAGCGAUUUGUCUGGUUAAUUCCGAUAACGAACGAGACUCUAGCCUGCUAAAUAGGCGUACCUUAUGGUAUCGCGAAGGCCCCCGGCUUCGGCCGGUGGGUUUCUACUACCAACGUACAAACAAAUCUUCUUAGAGGGACAGGCGG